rnacentral:lncRNA from 1 species
GUAAAGUUCUAGGUAUUUGAAUUUUGAUGUUGGGAACCAUGUUUGUGAAAUGUAGGUGUUUGGAUUUUGAACAUGGAGUUUGAUGUUGUUGAAAAGGUGCCAUAGACCUAUAAUUAUGAAACCAAAACCAGGUCCAACAUGUCCUACAAGAGUGCCCAUAUAUAUGAAGAGAAUGAAAAUUUAAGGAUGUUCUAAUAUUAAAAUAAUGUUUUGGUUUUUAGAAGAUGGAAAUAUUAUGGGAGGGAAAAGAGGAGAGGUUUGGAUAGGUAAAGGGAUGGGGGGCAGCCUUGAAUUCCUAAUUGAGAAACUUAUAUAACCAUCCAAAGGGUUUAAAUUUGAAGUACACUCUUAUUUAUUUUAUUAUUUUGGGUAGACAAUACACUCUUAUUUCUAACCUUACACUUAUAUUAAUCAAAUACUAAUUUGAGUUUUAAAAAUUCUAACCUUACACUUAUCUUGAUAAAAUACUAAUUUGAAUUUCAAAAACAAAAAGAAAAUACUCCUCCGUCCCAAUUUGAUUGACACAGUUGACUAUUGUGCACUAUUCAUACAUAUUAUUUUGACCUUAUUUUACUACUAAUAAACAAAAAUAAAUAUUAGUAUAUAAAAUGGUGUUUGAUUCGUCUCGAAUAGUAUUGUUAAAAUAUCAAAUUUUUAUAAUUUUUACUAUUAUAUAAUUAAAAAUAUUAAUCGUCAAAGUUAUGUAUCGGCAUGCGUGAAACAGUCAACUGUGUCAAUCAAAUUGGGACGAAAGGAAUCUAUCAUUAAAUAAGUUAAAAGAUCAUAGAUUAAGUCAUGAUGAGGGCCUAACAUUAACAACUAAUCAUUAUCGUUGAUUUCUUUAAAAAAACAUUAACGUUGACUAUUUAAAAAAAAAUUGCUAAACAGUGCCCUCGACAUUAGUUAAGCAUAUAAAUAAGGAAAUUCUGUCUUAAAAUUAUAAUGUUUCAAAUUAUCAUCUAAAAACAAUUGAGAAGCCUGUUAGAUAAUAUUAUUAUAUUAUUUAAUGUAUAUUAGUAAGGGUAGUUUGGAUUAAUAAUUAUGUUUCUCAAUCAAUAGGCGUGUAACUAGCCAAAUAUGAUACUGCUAAGGAGGAUUGAGACAAUUUGAAACGUUUGUUUUUUCAGAAUCUAAUUUUGCAAAACGGUGUCAGCUGGAGAAUGACACUAGGGGUCUCAAACAAAAUAAUAUGACUAUUCACGAGUUCUAUUUGACGAUGAGUAAUUUGUGGGAUCAAUUGGCUUUGAUGGAAUGACUGAACUGAAAGUUGUCAAAGUUUAUAAUGUUCAAAGUGAAGAGCAACGUUUGGUUCAAUUUCCGAUGGCUCUAUGUCGGGGUAGUCUACAUCGUAAUCCUCGUCCCAAUGUUGAUUCGGUUGUUAGUGAAUUGUUGGCAGAAGAAAUUAGACUCAAAUCCAACUUAAAUUCAUUUUUAGAUAAAUGAAUACUGUCUACUGCUCCAGUUGUUUUUGCUGCUCCAUUUCACAAAGGAAAACCUUCGGGAAGAGUUGGUCUUAGUAUUGAUGAAUGUGUUUUUUGUGAGGAGAAAGGUUAAUGUCCCAAGAAGUUGAGAGCAAAUUUCAAGAGUCCAUCAUCCAAUGUUGCUGCCGUUGAUGCUCCUACCAUUGGUUCUGGUUCUAAUCAUGUAUUCUCAUCUGAGACUACUCAAAUAUCUUAUAUUGCAGAGCAACUUCAAAAGUUUUUUGCCACUCAGUCACUUGUCAUGUGUGCCAUCAUCUGUUAAAGGUUUGAACUCUUCUUGUGUGUGUCAGGUAUAUCUCCUUCCACACAGAUUCUUGACUCUGGAGCAUCACACCAUAUGUCAUAUGAUGAUAAAUUAUUUAAUUUGUUUAUUUGAAUACUGCACCAUCUAUGUCGGUGAUGGCACUCCUAUGUCAUUAGUAGGCAUUGGUUCUGUCUCCACACCUAAUAUGUGUCAUUUUCGAUGUUUAUUAUAUAUUUCUAACCUCACUUUUUGCUUUUGUUAGUCAAUUGUGUGAUUCUCGUAUAUGUAGUAGUCAACGCAGACAAACUUGUUCUUCAUUGUAAAUGUAUUUAUGUGACUAUUUUUUAUUGAUCGUUGAAUAAAUUAUCCUACAAUUUUUUUAAGACUAAUGUAGAAAAUUAAAUAUCAUAUCCAUGCAAAUAAUAUUUCUUUCAUAUUUCCACAAAAGUACAUAUAAACAUUGAAAAUCCAAACAUAAAAAAAAACAAUAUCCACCCAUCCUCUAAAAGAGUUUCCUUAAGCCAGCCUUUCUUGUUAACACAUUAUUAAUUAUUAAUGUACAUUGAUCGAACUAUUCUUAUAGUAAAAUACAUAUACAAGUAANNNNNNNNNNNNNNNNNNNNNNNNNNNNNNNAUAUACAAGUAUACAACAUGUAGUGAAAGCAACAAGUAAUCACAAAUUAAAGUUCAUAUAAAAAAUAAAAGUGCUCAUAUAAUUAAAUUCAGUUUUCUAUACCAUAUAGUAUCCUAAUUUCUUCAUUCUUUUUUUCUACCUCUCUAUGUCAAGAGAUGAAAAAGUUUUUUUCCCCACAUGAAUAAAGUUAUUUGGGUUUUGAGACUCCGCAUCAUUAUUAAACUUUUCAACAUGAUCUUCUUUCUCUUUCUCUUUCUCUUUCUCUUCGAUCCCCAAAGAAAAAUACCUAACCUUAAAAUCUCCAUCAUAGAAUUUGGUCAAAACCAAAUACAAAGAAACACCAAAAAUAGUUACAAUAAUUAUAAACCAACUAAAAAAAAUAUUAAUAAGUGAAAGAGCACGAUGAAGUGAUUCAUGAUCAUAACAUCUCACAACUUUAUGACCAUCCUCAGGAUUCAAAAAACAACCUUUGGAAACUAAACUUGGUGUCCAAAGCAUGAUCCCCAUAAAACUAUUCCAUAAGCCUUGAGAAAAUAUACUUAAUGAUCUCACAAAAUUAAUUACGAAGCUUUUUUGAAUGAAAAUUCCCAAGAGGGUAGUUGAAAGAGAAACAAAGACAAGAAUUUGGAAGUGAAGAUGAUAUUGUCCUUCGGGUCCCGUGUGAUCGGUUGAAUGAAGAUGGAAGAGAAGAAGUUCUUGAAAANNNNNNNNNNNNNNNNNNNNNNNNNNNNNNNNNNNNNNNNNNNNNUUCAAUUUUGUCGAGGAUGAUGGAGAAGACGGCAUAGACGAAGAAAGUCAUGGAGAUCGAAGCGUGCUCGAAGUUAUGGAGAUGGUUUGAGGGAAUUGUACCGUCUGGAUCGAAGGGUUGGUGUCGGUCAGGAAGUAUGAAAAGUUCCAUUGAGAUUGAUGUUGUUGUGGCUACCAUGAUGAUGUAAAGUUCAAGGUAUUUGAAUUUUGAUGUUGGGAACCAUGUUUGUGAAAUGUAGGUAUUUGGAUUUUGAACAUGGAGUUUGAUGUGGUUGAAAAGGUGCCAUAGUCCUAUAAUUAAGAAAGCAAAACCAGGAGCAACAUGUCCAACAAGAGAACCCAUAUAUGAAGUGAAUGAAAGAUUUAAGGAUGUUCUAAUAUUAAAAUAAUGUUUUGGUUUUUAGAAGAGGGAAAUAUUAUGGGAGGGAAAAGAGAAGAUGUUUGGAUAGGCAAAGGGAUGGGGGAGUCUUGAAUUCCUACUUGGAAAACUUAUAUAACCAUCCAAGUGGUUUAAAUUUGAAGUACACUCUUCUUGGAUUUUUUUGGUAGUACACUCUUAUUUAUAACCUUACACUUAUCUUGAUCCAAGGUCGGUUCAAGCGUAAGUCAAUCCAAGCAAGGGUUUUAGGCUAUUGAAAAAGAAAAAAAUUUACUAUGAAAUUUUUUUUAUAAGUUUAUUAGUUUAUGAUAGGAAAGACUUAAGAGAAAAACAUAAAGGUCUAUGAAAAAACAAUUAUAAAAAUGAAACAACAACUGUACGGCUCUUUAAAAUUUCAAACAACUAUUUUUGGUUUCAUUAUGAAAUUUGCUUUAGGACUCAUUUAAUAUUAGGUCUGGCCUAUGUUGAUCCAAUACUAAUUUGAGUUUCAAAAAUUCUAACCUUACACUUAUCUUGAUAAAAUACUAAUUUGAGUUGUAAAAACAAAAGAGAAUAACAUUAAAUGAGUUAAAAAACCAGAGUUUAAGUCCUGAUGAAGACGAAAAAAUACUAAUAUUAACAAUUAAUUAGAUUAGGCAUUUGUAUGCGGAGAGAAUGCCCAAGAGAUCAGCUGGAGGGAAGAUAUAUGAACCAUAAAAUUUAUGUCAAAAGAGGUUCCUAACUUAGUCAAGAAGUCUGCACAACUAUUUUUUUCUUGUAGGUGUGUGACCUAGCUAUUCGAACAUGCCAUCUUGUUGAAGAAGAUCUUAGAUGUCUAACAAUAUAUGUUAAAUGAUCAUAAGUUAAUUAAAUAUAAUGUUUGAGAGAAAUUUUUUUUUUGGUGGUGUAAUGUUUGAGAGAAUUAUACUCUGACCAAAACAAUUUUUGAAAAAAAUUUCACUCACUAUUUGACCGAAUUUCAGAUCAUCAUGUCCCAUUUUUCUAAAAAUCAGAUUAUUAAGUUAAAAAAACAAAACUAACAAAGAUAUACUCCCUCCGUCCCAAAAUGUAAGCAAAAGUUGGUUAACAAAAAUGAAUGUAUUUGGUCCAAAUUUUGAACCAAAUAUAGUAUCAAAUUUAUUUAAUUCAUUUUUUCUUAUAUUUUGGGACGGAUGGAGUAUUAAAUAAUAGAAUUAAGCACAACAACAAACAAAUUAAAUUUUAUUUGAGAAGAUUUGAUUCAACAAAUAGUACUCAUCCAAACUUGUGAGUUUUGAAAUUAACAACUUUUUCCAUGGGUAGAGCAGUAGUAAUCAUAACGCAAGAGUGAUAGCAUGAUCUAAAAUCUCCAACAUAUACCGUACCGUGAGCUUCAUUGACACGACAUAAGAAGAUUCAUUCACUUCACUUUGUCCAUUAGUUUUGCAUGUGAUCUCUCUAACUUUGGAACCAUAUAAAGGUUACUUCAUUUCUUGUACUUUUUAGCCAUGUUUUGACUUUCUUGCCAAUGUGUUUGGGUCUUGUCCCCUUCUAUCAUAGUAUAUACCACGAUUAUGAUGAUUCAAUGCCAUUCAUCUUAAGUUUCCAAAAUGAAAGCAACUUCUUGGUUUGAUGGGUUAAGAAAUCUAAUUCCAAUUAAACAAAGGCAGCUAUAAAAUGUGACUAAAUUUUGAAUAAAUAUAAACUAUAUCUUUGACUUUUUUGUAAGGCUUUUUUUUUAUUUUGAAUUAAUUCUUAUAUUUUUUUUACAUAAGGUUUUUUUAUUUUAUUUUCAACACCAGUGUCGGAUCUACCGGAUCGCGAGUCAGUUCUAGCAUAACUUACAUAAGAUUAACCCAAACGUAUGUGUAAUAUAUAUUCAAACCUCGAAGUCGAAAUACAUAGAGUCACUAGAUUUAAUUUAGUGGUGAAAAAUUUAAAUAGUAUAAAUAAAGUUAUAAUUGGUUCAAAUUUUAUUAGCUCUAAUGUAAAGAAGAAAAAGAAAAAAAAUCGAAACACAUAACUUACUUUACAAUAUAUAAAAACUAUGUUUAGUUAAAAAAUAACGUAUCACGUAUAAGCUACGUGAUAGUAGAAAGACACAUACACAUUUGCAAAAGCGUACAGGUGAAAUUAUUAACUAAAAGUCCAAAACCAUGUAGGGCUAUGUUAAGUUUCCUACAAAGAGAAGGAUCCAAAACAAAGCUGAUGCAUAAGUAGGACAACGGAAUUAGAAUAAAAAUAUCAAAUUCAUACAAAAUAAAGGUAUAUACUCCGAUAUUCAAUUUACAAAAUUUAUAUUUAAAAAAAUUAUAUUUUAAAUAAAUUUUAUCAAUAAUUAUCGAUAUCCAACCAUAUAAAUUGGAUACUUAAAAAUUUACCCAAAAUAAAACAACCAUGCCAAAGUAAAAACCCAAAUAAUAAAUAAAUUAAAGAAAUUUUCACAAAAAGUACAUAUUAACAUUGAAAAUCCAAUAUCAUUCAACAAAAAACAAAACAAUAUUCAUUUAAUAUCAUAACUGACACCCAAACCAAAUUACGCGAUUUAAUGAGUCAGAUACAUAUUCAUAUUAAAAAAAAUGUCACGCAAAGCCUAUAAACUAAAGUUUCCUGGAACCAACAUUAUUAAUAUACAUGGACCCCACCAUUCUUAUAGUAAAAUACAUGUACACAAUAUACACCUGACCUCACACACCUAACCUAACAAGUAAUAAUCACAAAUUAACUUAAUAAAAAAAUAAAAAUCAUCAUAAAUUCAACUAAUUUCUUCGUCACUCAUAGUACUCCAUAUUACUUACUACCUCUCUAUGUCAAGAGGUGAAUAAGUUUUUUUUCCCACAUGAAUAAAGCUUUUUGGGUUGCCACCUAAGCUUCCCUUUUGAGAUUCCACAUCAUCACUUAAGUUCUCAACAUCUUUUUCUUCCUCUUCAACUCCCAAUGAGAAAUAUCGAACCUUAAAAUCUCCUUCAUAGUAUUUGGUCAAAACCAAAUACAAAGAAACACCAAAAACCGCCACAAUAAUUACAAACCAACUAAAUAAAAUAUUAACAAGUGAAAGAGCACGAUGAAGUGAUUCAUGAUUUGAACAUCUCACAACUUUAUGACCUUCUUCAAGAUUCAUAAAACAACCUUUGGAAAUUAAACUUGGUGUCCAAAGCAUAAAUCCCAUAACCAUAAGCCAUAAGCCUUGAAAAAAUAUACUUAAAGAUCUCACAAAACUAAUUAUGAAAUUUUUUUGCAUGAUAAUUCCUAAGAGAGUAGUUGAAAGAGAGACAAAGAUAAGAAUUUGUAAGAGAAGAUGAUAUUGUCCUUCUGGUCCAUUGUGAUCAGCUGAAUGAAGAUGGAAAAGAAGAAGUUGUUGAAAAAAUGCUAUAGAAGCUAGUAAUUGUGUCAAGGAAUAUUUUGCUUUGUUUUCGAUUUUGUCGAGGAUGAUGGCGAAAACAGCGUAGACAAAGAAAGUCAAGGAUAUCGAAGCGUGUUCGAAGUUGUGAAGAUGGUUUGAGGGUAUUGUACCGUCGGUAUCAAAGGGUUGGUGUCGAUCGGGACCGAUGAAAAGUUCCAUUGAGAUUGAUGCUAUUGUGGCUACCAUGAUAAGAUAAAGUUCAAUAUAUUUGUAUUUUGAUGUUGGGAACCAUGGUGGUGAAAUGUAAGUGUUUGGAUUUUUGACAUGAAAUUUGAUGUGGUUUAAAAGGUGCCAUAGACCUAAAAUUAAGAAAGCAAAACCAGGUGCAACAUGUCCUACAAGAGUGCCCAUAUAUGAAGAGAAUGAAGAUUUAAGGAUGUUUUAAUGUUAAAAUAAUUUUUUGGUUUUU